rnacentral:rRNA from 1 species
AUUGAACGCUGGCGGCAGGCUUAACACAUGCAAGUCGAGCGGGCGAGGUUGCUUCGGUAACUGAGCUAGCGGCGGACGGGUGAGUAAUGCUUAGGAAUCUGCCUAUUAGUGGGGGACAACAUUCCGAAAGGAAUGCUAAUACCGCAUACGUCCUACGGGAGAAAGCAGGGGAUCUUCGGACCUUGCGCUAAUAGAUGAGCCUAAGUCAGAUUAGCUAGUUGGUGGGGUAAAGGCCUACCAAGGCGACGAUCUGUAGCGGGUCUGAGAGGAUGAUCCGCCACACUGGGGCUGAGACACGGCCCAGACUCCUACGGGAGGCAGCAGUGGGGAAUAUUGGACAAUGGGCGAAAGCCUGAUCCAGCCAUGCCGCGUGUGUGAAGAAGGCCUUUUGGUUGUAAAGCACUUUAAGCGAGGAGGAGGCUACCGAGAUUAAUACUCUUGGAUAGUGGACGUUACUCGCAGAAUAAGCACCGGCUAACUCUGUGCCAGCAGCCGCGGUAAUACAGAGGGUGCGAGCGUUAAUCGGAUUUACUGGGCGUAAAGCGUGCGUAGGCGGCUUUUUAAGUCGGAUGUGAAAUCCCUGAGCUUAACUUAGGAAUUGCAUUCGAUACUGGGAAGCUAGAGUAUGGGAGAGGAUGGUAGAAUUCCAGGUGUAGCGGUGAAAUGCGUAGAGAUCUGGAGGAAUACCGAUGGCGAAGGCAGCCAUCUGGCCUAAUACUGACGCUGAGGUACGAAAGCAUGGGGAGCAAACAGGAUUAGAUACCCUGGUAGUCCAUGCCGUAAACGAUGUCUACUAGCCGUUGGGGCCUUUGAGGCUUUAGUGGCGCAGCUAACGCGAUAAGUAGACCGCCUGGGGAGUACGGUCGCAAGACUAAAACUCAAAUGAAUUGACGGGGGCCCGCACAAGCGGUGGAGCAUGUGGUUUAAUUCGAUGCAACGCGAAGAACCUUACCUGGUCUUGACAUAGUAAGAACUUUCCAGAGAUGGAUUGGUGCCUUCGGGAACUUACAUACAGGUGCUGCAUGGCUGUCGUCAGCUCGUGUCGUGAGAUGUUGGGUUAAGUCCCGCAACGAGCGCAACCCUUUUCCUUAUUUGCCAGCGGGUUAAGCCGGGAACUUUAAGGAUACUGCCAGUGACAAACUGGAGGAAGGCGGGGACGACGUCAAGUCAUCAUGGCCCUUACGACCAGGGCUACACACGUGCUACAAUGGUCGGUACAAAGGGUUGCUACCUAGCGAUAGGAUGCUAAUCUCAAAAAGCCGAUCGUAGUCCGGAUUGGAGUCUGCAACUCGACUCCAUGAAGUCGGAAUCGCUAGUAAUCGCGGAUCAGAAUGCCGCGGUGAAUACGUUCCCGGGCCU